rnacentral:misc_RNA from 1 species
GGGGGGGGGGGGGGGUUGGUGGUGUUAAUUUGGUAAAUGGAAGCAAUGACAAAAAAAAUUAAGUGGGUUGUGAAGUGGAUUAGUCGUGCAGAUGGCUUUAAAUUUUUUGAUUAAGUGACCUUUGUCUGAACCUAAAGUUUUAGUUUCCAAUGUAUAACAGAUUGGGACUGAACUGGUAAAGUGUUAAGAAACAGAGUGAUGCAGUAUGGGAAGCUUAAAGUUUUUUUUAAGAAUUUUAAUUUUAAACAUAUCCCCUUCUUAUGUGAAUGUGGUAUAUGAGAUACUAUUCAAGGUUCUAUCUCUGUCAAUUUUUUUUAUACCAAAUGUUGGGGAAAGCUUUGAAGUUUGAACUGAUGAGGUUCAAUUUUUGGAAUUCAUUUCCUUGUUUAAUGUGGAAUUGAUAACAAAGCUAUUUUAAGUUUCAAUAAUCUUGAUACUAAUUGGCUUUUGCUGGAGCUUUAUGAGGCCAAUGGAUUUUAGUUUCAAAUAGCAUAUCCCUUGAUUGCAAAAGGUAGGGGAUGAUGUAUGGAGUAAGAAUCAGGGCUCUAAUAGGAAGGCACGUAGAACAUAGGGUACGCUAAAAGGAAGGAUAUUGAACAAAAAGAUUAAGGGAGAGUUUUUGGAUUUGACAUACACUGGGCAAUGAAGGCAGUUAUUUCUUCAGGGAUGAGUUUUGGAAAUUUCUUUGAACAAAAAUCAAGCAAUUUUUGUGUAUCCAGGUUUGUAUGAUGCCUACGUUCAUGCAGGAGACAUGGAGUGUUUAAGACUGCCAGUCAUGCUAUCAUGAUAAUCUUACAAUUGUUUUUUUAAAUCAAAUUUAGUGGGUUAUCUGAUUUGCUUCUGGUGUAUAUUAUUGAUACAUUGAAGUUUGUUGUUUUGGCAAACACCAUGGCAGGUUUUAAAUUUUUUGGGUAUCAUCUAGAGAGAAGGCAAUUGUUAUUUAAGUUGAGAUUACUGUCUUAUGUCAAGUAACAGAAAAUGCAGAAGAAAAUCAUUGCUGAGAGUGAAAAUUCAAUGUUCAUAUACUGGGCUAAAAAGAUCUAUAUUUUAUGGGCAAAUUAUUAUCUCUUAAGGCAAGAUUCACUGAUCUCUUGUUUUCUCUCUAUUGAUUCCUAUUGGAUCUUAAUUAUGUACUACACUAAUUUUGAAGCACAUUUAUCUAAGAAGUUCUUUCCUGAAGACCAAAAGACAAAAAUAUAUUUGGCAUAAUGUAGUGGAUGCAUUUAAAAACAUAUUGUGCAGUUCUUCUUUUGUUGUUAACUGUGAGGAAAUUUAUUGGCUUGUGGUAGAUUUGUAUUGUUGACAGGACCUGUCUUGUCUUCCUUUCUCACCUGUAUGAUACUUUUUUCAUUUUGCAGAGUACGUGAUUCUCUUGCAUUUUGUUUUGCAGCUCAGGAAAUGUCAAUCAACAGG